GGACCCGACUGCUAUCAGAGUGGGACUAAGCCAUGCGAGUCAACAUAGCAAUAUGUGGCAUACGGCUCAGUAACACGUAGUCAACAUGCCCAGGGGACGUGGAUAACCUCGGGAAACUGAGGAUAAACCGCGAUAAGUCACUACUUCUGGAAUGGGUAAUGACUCAAAUCUAUAUGGCCCCUGGAUUGGACUGCGGCCGAUCAGGCUGUUGGUGAGGUAAUGGCCCACCAAACCUGUAACCGGUACGGGCUCUGAGAGGAGGAGCCCGGAGAUGGGCACUGAGACAAGGGCCCAGGCCCUAUGGGGCGCAGCAGGCGCGAAACCUCUGCAAUAGGCGAAAGCUUGACAGGGUUACUCUGAGUGAUUUCCGCUAAGGAAAUCUUUUGGCACCUCUAAAAAUGGUGCAGAAUAAGGGGUGGGCAAGUCUGGUGUCAGCCGCCGCGGUAAUACCAGCACCCCGAGUGGUCGGGACGUUUAUUGGGCCUAAAGCAUCCGUAGCCGGUUCUACAAGUCUUCCGUUAAAUCCACCUGCUUAACAGAUGGGCUGCGGAAGAUACUAUAGAGCUAGGAGGCGGGAGAGGCAAGCGGUACUCGAUGGGUAGGGGUAAAAUCCGUUGAUCCAUUGAAGACCACCAGUGGCGAAGGCGGCUUGCCAGAACGCGCUCGACGGUGAGGGAUGAAAGCUGGGGGAGCAAACCGGAUUAGAUACCCGGGUAGUCCCAGCUGUAAACGAUGCAGACUCGGUGAUGAGUUGGCUUAUUGCUAACUCAGUGCCGCAGGGAAGCCGUUAAGUUUGCCGCCUGGGGAGUACGGUCGCAAGACUGGAAUUUAAAGGAAUUGGCGGGGGAGCACCACAAGGUGUGAAGCCUGCGGUUCAAUUGGAGUCAACGCCGGAAAUCUUACCGGGGGCGACAGCAGAGUGAAGGUCAAGCUGAAGACUUUACCAGACAAGCUGAGAGGAGGUGCAUGGCCGUCGCCAGCUCGUGCCGUGAGGUGUCCUGUUAAGUCAGGUAACGAGCGAGACCCCC
rnacentral:rRNA from 1 species